rnacentral:lncRNA from 1 species
GUCUGUCUAGGACACGUCUAGAUGUGACAUAAUUAUUUCACAUCUAAGCUGAUGUUCAUUCUGCUUGUGGUCUUUUUUUUGUUCUAGUUUUUUUUGUUUCUUGUUGAUGCAUUAUAUAUAUUUGUGGGAGCUUAGAUGUGGCAUCCUUAAAAAACAUCUAAAUGUGAAUUAGACAAACUGAUUGUCAUGUGCAUCAAAAUAUCCAUCGAUGUGAUGGGGCAACAUCGGGUAGGUGUCCACUAAAACGGCAUCAACACGGCACGACAACAUCCAUCGGUGCAGCAAGGAGGCGCACAUGAAAGUCUUGACGAAAUGUAUGUCGGCGACGCAUUAAGACACAUGCUACACAUACAAUACUUUCAGUAGUACGAUUUUUAUACAGUAAUUUUGAUCACACCAUACAAUAUAAUUUAUUCCGUGUUCACAAGUCGUAAUACACAAACAAACGCCAAAUCCAUUUCAGUUAAAACGAACCGAAUUUAUAGUCUGGUGUGUUCCUAGCACAUUGAUGUUGUUUUUUACACUCUGACACCACAAAGACUUUCUCAACACUGUCUACAAGGUAGUACGUAAGCCUAGUGUCCAGGCAGCUAACACCUACGAGGCCUUCCGAAGACUUCGAAGCUAAGCUAGGUCCCCUGGCUUCUGUAUGUACAAAUGUUUCACCGUUGCUGAAAUGCCACAAAAUGCCCACGUUUCAGGUGAAAAAAAAGGCAGGAAUGAAACCUCACACAACAUCAUGAGACCUUCGCAACUAGUCCACCUGCCAUGGUAAAACAUAACAGAAGAAACCACCCACCGUGCGACUGAGACAACAAUGCUUUCUAGCACUUGUUUGAAACGCACCAAACUAAUUGUAAAGAACUCUCGUGGUUUCAAAUGCGUAUACAUAAGAGCAUCUACAACCGGAGCCUAUAUCCCCCAAAUGUCCGGUCAGCCUACCCGGUCAUUGUCUGAAAGAAAAUUGCCAUCCAACCUGGCAAAUGCAUCCUAAAUGUUCGGGUUGACGGGUGUCUCCCAUACCUGAUCCAUAUGUAGGUAGAAUAUACUGAAACUCCUGGACGCGUCCGCCACGUCAGGGUUGACGGAUGGGCCCACACUGAAACCCGUCGGUCUGAUGGACGCCUCCUCCAGCUAGUUGAGGACACAUUCAUGUCGCUGCUCCGGCGCCCCGCCUGAGGGACAAGUCUAGCUAUUUAAGUCAGACGGCGACGCAACCCUAGACCCGUCCCAUUCUCAUCCCUCAUGUUUGCGUUGUCGUUGCCCCCUACUCUCUCUCUAUUCCACUUUGAAUCUAGGGUCUGCCAACACCGACGUCGUCCUGGUCCGCAGCAAGAUCACCUACCACAAGCUCCUGACGCCGGAUCGUCGGGCGGAAAUCCAGACGGAGAUGCACGCCGUCGAGGAGGCCCGCUCCACACGUUGCAUCACACACAUUGCGGUCGGCCGCCCUCCGGAUAGUCCGAACGAGGAGGUGUCAGAGCAUGAGAAGGUGGAGCCACCAGCACGAGAAGGUGUUGUCGGAGCAGAAGGAGGUGGGGCGGAGACGGUGGCGCUAAAGCAAGAGGAGGAGGAGCCGCCAUCGGACGAGGAGGAAGAGGCAUGGACGCCGAAGUAGGCUGAAUUGGGGAUAGAGGACGCGCUUGCGGAGUUCGAGCUCGCCCAAUCGAAGGAAGCGACGGAACAGCAGGCCAUCCUCGACUCCAUCCGGUCCAAGACGAAGGUCGAGGCAAACCAUCGCUUCCUCCACGAGUCACACAUGGAGCUUGAGGAGGCCUUCGCAUCCGAGGAGGACGACGAGGCCAGCGGCUCCAGCACGAAUGUCAUCGACAUAUCUGAUAACGAGUAGUGUAGGUGGUAGUGAACGUGGUGUUUUGGCUCUCGGUGCACCCAAGGUGAACAGUAACUUUGUUUAAAAUGGUAAAAAAUCAAAAUAUUUGAUUAUUUUUUUGUGAUGCUAGAUGCUUAUGUGCGUGAAGUAUGUGUCAAAUUUCGUCGAGUUUGGACAUUUCAGUAGCUCUCAGAAAAAAUAGAUAGAUUUUGGGGCUGUAAGAAAGUUUACUGUCCCGUAGUGUUUUGACCAAUUUUGUCAUUUUGCCGUGAGCCCCUCAGAUGUUCGAACAAGCUGAAAUUCUGCACGAACAACACGCAUUGAAACAUCUUUCACCUAAAAGAAUUUCAGAUUUUUUGAAGAAAAAAAUAGUUUUUUAAAAUUUAUUGUUUACCGAGUGCAGAUGAGCCUGGGCAUCGAAUUGAAUAUCUGAGGUGAUAGUUUGCUAGUUUCUACUACUCACUCCAUCCCAUAAUAUAAGACAUUUUUGCAAGCUAACAUAGCUUGCAUAAAUGCCUUAUAUUGUGGGACGGAGGGAGUGUGUUCUAUGUGAUCAUAGAUGUUGCAUGUCUUUGUAUGAAAAUGGAAAUCCUCAAAUUAUGGGUGUGCUUGUGAUGUGUAAAAUAUAAGGGAAGUGAGUGUGGUUGUGAUGUGUGAAAUUUAAGAGGUGACCGGGCGUUGUCCGUGAACGCGACCGGACACGUUGCGAACAUUUGUUGGCUCACUUGCUUUUGGGGGGAAUUCAGAUAUUUUUAUUCAACAGAAACCGCCCCAUCAUCAUCUGCUAGGGGGCAAGUUACAAGUAGGCGUAAAGUUCAUCCCGCAAAUCUGUGACCUCCAGUGUGCUUGCUUGUUUGGCAUAAAGGUGGGCAACAGUAUCAGCUGUUGAACACAAAAAGAAAUAAACGAUCCCCAGUUUCAUCUAAGAUAGGCGCCAUUGAACUUCUCGAAUCAAGGCAAUCAGUCUGCAUAAUUAUCUUUCCAUAGCCCCGGAGCUUGGCAAAAAUAAUACCAUCGCGAAGAGCCAAAGCUUCAGAAAUAAGAGGGUCAGUAGUAAUCCCUAGGUAGUGUUUACACCAAUCAACCAGCAGAGUGGAGCCAGUUCUCGCCACUCCCCCGCCCCUCCUCUUCUUGCGUCCACUGCAAUGCUACCAUCUGUAUUGAUCUUUAUGUAGCCUUCAUCUGGAGGACACCCCCAUGGCCAUGGCCAGGCAAAACGCAAGCGCGCAGGUGCGUAAAACAAGAAUACCUGCUUUACAGUCACCAUCGACGGCAAGGAGAGGCCAAGCUCCUCACUACCAAAACCUAUUUCCUCAGGGUACAGCCUGCGCGAGAUAUCUCGCCCAAAAUUUCCCCGCCAGCAAGAACAUCAAGCACAUCUACAAAAAUCAAGCAAUAAACUAGAGAACAGACACACCAGUUUAAGUUCAAUUGACUCAUAUCCCCAAGGGUUCCUCAGUUCCUGUUCAACUUCUCGACCAAAAAAGGUUUGGCAUGUACCCAUAUACCCCGACAGAACUGCAGCAUUCAGCAUAUAUCCAUGAACAGCUGAACCAGGUAAAACUUAUGAGACGGAGCUGACUCUUUCUUCACAAAGGUAAAAAAAGAAAAGGCAAAGAUGACCACGAGUUCAGUUUUUCUUUGCCCCAAGCGAAACCAAGUCUGCAGCAGCAGCAUCACCAGGUGCCUCAGUUGGAGGAGGCACCGAAAACCCUGAUCCUCUCCUCGAUCUUGGCGUUGCAGCUGGGGCAGCGAACGGCGCCUUUCUCCUCAUGCUGCUUGUUGCAGCCGACACACAGCACCUGGUGAGCACACUGCAGCAGCAUCACGCAAGCCUCCUCCCUCUUGCAGAUAAUGCAGCCUCUGCGGCGGCCUGUAUUCUGGAUAGGCUCCUGCUGCCUGUUGGAUGUGGGCGGUGCCUUCUGGUUGGACUGCUUGGGUGCCCGCGCUGUAUUGCGGUCAGUCAUAGCCGGAGGAUAGGCUGAUGGAACUGUCGGCGCAUUUGCACCCAUGGACUUCUGCAGACGGGAUAACUGAUCCUGGAGCCUCCGGAGGUCAUCUUUGUAGCACUGGGACUCUACUUCUGUCUUCCGGCGAAUUUCUUCAAGUCGGCGAUCAGCAUCAGCUUUCGCAGAUUCCCGCUUCCCACGUUCCUGUUCUGCAAGUGCCAAGUUGUCUUCAGUGGCCUUUGUGUCUUCUCUUAUUUUAACCUACAUACCAAACACAUGUUACAAAUCAAUCUGUCAGACAAAUAAAUACCCAAAAUGUGCGAGACACAUUGAAAGCAUAGAAGUGUGAUAUCAACAGUUUCAAAAAUGAAGUUAUGGUACAAUGUAGCAUUUGUGUAGAUAAUGAAUUUAUUACUCCCUCCGAUCCAUAUUAGUUGUCGCUGAUCUAGUUAUAUUAUAAACCAGGAAACAAGAAUAACAGUUUUAAAUCCCCAAUAGGGAUUUCUGAGACACGUAAACUAGUUAAUGGUGCAAUAACAAUACUGUAAUGUGCACAAACCAAUAAUAAACUCUAGUGGAAAUAGAGGAAGAAGGUUUGUGAUAACUGAUCAAAUUAACAUGAAGUUAAGAAGCAUGAAAGGAAACAAAGAAAUUAGAAUUACAGAUAUCAAAUAACCCUGUUUAGUACCUGCCACUUUGAAAGAAAACUUAACAACUGUACUUCUAACCUAAGAUUACAAUGGAUAACUGGUGCGAUCAAUAUUUUGUUCUGAAAGGCAUUAACAGGCAAUUAGCAUUAACUACAUUCUCGCUGCAGUAUCACAAUAAAUAAAAGAUGGUGGCACAUUUUUAUUUCUGUGAUCAAUCAAACGGCUGAAAGAAUUUAUGAUGGUGUGGACGAGAACGCAGGAAAAUCAGGUAGUGGGGGCUACUAUUUAGAUAUAGUAGAUUCAAACAGCAAGGCCAGCAAAGCAGCCAAGGCUAUAACGUAGAAAGAAGCAACAAUUUACAGUUGACAAAUAAGGCCCAUAACCUCUGAGUUAAAAACAUGGUUUUCGAGUCGAUGAGUCGUUCUGGGGUAGCGAUUCGUGACGAGUCAAGCCUGACCAAUUGACUAAUCACGACUAGUCGCGACUAGUUGAGGGGUUUGAAUCAACCCUGGCAGUGCGACUCGUCGACUAGUCGCGUGACUCAAAAACAGUGGUUAAAAAACAAAUGCUAAAGUUCCAAAGCAGCGAGAAUUUGAGAAAGCAUGUGCAAUGUUCUAACAGAACACACCACAAAGGUAUUCUUUUGUCCAGGUAAUGAAUUUACCAAAAAGCUACCAUACAAUUCUAUUUUAUAUUCUUUUUCAAAUCCAAAGGUUAUAUACAUUAAAUAAUUAUAUACUGAUUUGCGAAUUUAAACAAGUAAUUAUAUUCAGAACAGAAACUGAGGGAGGCGAUCUAACAUGAUUCCCAAUUUCUCAUGGUUACCUGGCAAUCUGGAACAUAGUAUAACCAGGCCAGCGCAGAAGAUCAAAAUGCAUAGCACGCCACAAGCAGAAAAAAAAUGGCAGGGCAUAGGCUUGUUCUAUGUGUUGUUCACACUAUUUUUCAGGAUGACGAGUUUUGACAUUAUGAUUUUGACUAACAAGAUAAAAGCAAGACGAAUCAUUAGUAAAGCAUGUAACAAUACUGGCCCUCGCAGCAAAGCAAGAAAGUUGCAGUUACUAAGCAAUAGCUUACAGUUAUAGAUGAACGCUGAUGCUGGUAGCUGCAUGACACAAAAAUUUUAACAAGAACAGUGAUGAAUGAUGGCUACACCGAUGCCGAUUAACAAGUGGCAGGGUCCCCCAGUAACUACCAUCUAGCACCAACAGACGAGUACAUAAUCACUGACUCUGUGCUUGUUCACUAUUAAGCCUGACCAUCUUGUGAUUAUGCCUAAAUAUUUUAUUCCCUCCGUCCCAAAAUAUAAGAGCAUUUUUUACACUAGUGUAGUGUCAAAAGCGCUCUUAUAUUUUGGGACAGAGGGAGUACUUCUUAUCAAAUUAGGCUUUUACCACUAGUUGUACUCCUAUAAGAGGGUACCAUAGCCCAUCAGGAUCAUUACUACUUUAUAAGAUGACCAGCUGAGCAUGAAGCGUAGUGGUUAGCUACAAUGCAGCUACAAAUGAUCUAAACCCAGCACCUCUCCUAGUAGGAAGGAUGUGCUUGUGACCUGUUUGUAACUGCUAGCUAAUAAAAAGUAGAAGCACAUAAAGCUUAUAGACACUAAAGCAACAAUCAUGAUAUACUGUGCAAAAUCAAUCUCACCUCCAUAUUUCUUAUUGACUUGUUGACCCCAGCCAGCUCCUUAUCUGCCUGUGCGAUCUUUGCCUUGCAUUCAGCAAUCUCCUCCUGCAGCUUGGCCUUUUGCCGCUCCCACAGCUCAAGCUUUUUGCUGUCUUUCUUCUCUUUCUUUAGCAGUAUCUGGCAUUGCCGUUCAGUCUCCGAUGCACUCAGCUUCGCAGCUUCCAUCUCAGCACGUAUUUCCGCAUUCUCCAUUUCCAGUUUCUGCACACUAGCAUUACUCCGGUCAAGCUGCCCACUCUUCUUCUUCAGCUCAUACUCCAGACGAGUGAGGCGCUUCAUUGUCUCAUCCUCCAGUGACUGCUUAUCAUUCUUCCGCCGCUGGUUAUCGUCAUGCUCCAUCCGCAGCAUGCGCAACUCAGUGAGAUCAUUGCCAAGUUUACGAGCAGCCUGUACCGCCUUCUUCUGGGCCCACUCCUUGCGCUCCUUGAGCUGCUCCUCCAUCUCCCGUGUCUGUUUAAUGAGGUCACGCACCAUCUCAUUCUUGGGAUCAGGCUUCUCCGCAGGAGGGUCCUUCUUGUCAAUGUCCAGCGACUCAAGCUCCAUCACCACAGACUCAAUGAGAUCAUCGGUGGACACCUUCAUAGCAAAGGACUGCUUGGGCUGCCCCUGCCCAUCUGGGGCAGCAGGGGCCGGAGCAGCGCUGCCGCCGGACCGUGACCAUGUAUUCUUGACGCAGGAGACCACGCCGGCAGUGCUCUCAGUGUGCGGGCGCGUGCUGUCAGUGUGGGCGCGCAUCGCAAGACGCAUGAAUGUUUCAGGGUCAAACAUGUGGUUCUCUGUGGCCGUGGUCGCAUGGAAGUGGCAGUAGCCACGCUGCCCUGGGACGGGUGCGGCCGGGGAAGGCGCCUCACUCUCGGCGGUGGAGAAGCCGGAGUGGGGCGACUUAUCGGUGAAGGAAGCUCCCAUGUUGAUGGCCUGUUCGAGGCGGAGAUCGUUGGCGAGGAGGCACCACAUGGCCUCGACACGGGAGAUGGUGGGGCGGCUGCUCUGAAGGAGGCAGACGAGGCCCGCUAGGGAGUACUCCUCGAGGCGGCGGAGGUCGGCGAACCCGCCGGCUCCGCCGGGGGCGUCUGGAUCGUUGAGGAAGGAGCGGGCGUUGGCGACGAUGUUAUCGACAGGGUCGUCAAGCUUGCCGUAGCAGUGGCCCGCGCGGAGGACGGCCCGGAGCGCGGCGUCCUCGGCGUAGCCGAGCUCAGCGAGGCCGGCCAGCGCCGCCGCGUAGGCCUCCUCCAGCCUCUUGAGGAGGCGGUCCUCCAGCUCGUCCGCCGUUGAGCGGCCCCACGGAGAGACGUCGUCGGAGGCCUGCGCGGACAGAUCGGGAUCGGGGGUGGGGUUAAGGGCGAGCAGGGUCGCUGGCGUGCGGACGGGGCGGCCCUUGCGCGCGGCGCGGGAGCCGCGUUCGCGGGGCUGGCCGGCCAUCGGAGGGGCGACGGCGGCCGGAGGUUUUAGGGUGGGGCGGAGGCGAUCGGCGAUGGGAUCGGAGUUAGGGUGGAUGGGCGGCGCGGAUAGCCGGAUACCACGUCGAUGGGUGUGCCUAAAUGGUGACCGGGUCUGGGGUGGAGUGGUAACGGAAGAGGAAACAACGAAGGGGAAUGGCUUUGCUUCUGGGCUUCGUGGGGCCCUGCCCUGGUUGGGUUAUCUAUGGGUUUUUAGGGCUUUGGCACAAUCAUGUGUGAGAGGCCUGAUACAAUGUUCACCAUUGUGCUCAAAAAAAAAAUACCACUGACUUUCUUGUCUCGGCUCCUCAGAUCUAAAUUUGUCUUGUCAAUCAUCUCAUGUGUUAUAGUCUCCAUUUUUUUAUUGACAUUACUGUUGAUGACGAUCUUAACCUUAUCGUAUUCACUACAUAUCGAAUUCAAUUAGUUGUCAUCUUUGCACCAUAGCCUAUCAAAGAUCUUAAAUGUCUUUGAUUUUCGUUCAAGAAAAUAAGAUGAAUGGUAAGUAAAUGGCUAAUGGAAGUGGCCACUAAUGUAUUUCUUCUAACUUGUCCUUUUUCAUCACCUUCUCUCAAAGCUCUUUUUUCGUAUUCAGAAAUUAUUUCGUGUAAAAAUUCAGUUAUACCAUACCGCCACACGUCAUUGAUCUUACUUGCCACCCAAGAAUAUAAGGCAAAGGCGGUAACGUACCCGGGAGGUGAAGCGUCGUUAUUCUCCUCAUUAUUCUUUUGGAGGUAUACGUGUGUGGCUUCAUGAUUAAUUAAUACUAACCAAAAACACCUUUUUUGAAAAUAAAAAUAUUACUUGUCACUGAUUGUAAGUCUAUGUCAAUUUUGGUUAUAAGGACAAAAUGAAAGCACAUUUUCAGAACAUAUUAGUUGGAUAGCCAUGGAAUAGAAUGCACAAUAAUGGAGGCGGAGAAACCAUAAGACGAGAGAAAUCUACGCGAACAACUUUGUCUCAAGACUUGAAGAGGUGCUAGACUACUCAGUUGUUGAAGAUUUUGGGAGGUUGCUACCGUCCUAUAUAUCGACUUUCAAUAUUUGCGACUUUGCGAGUGGCAUCAAAAACCUACCGCCAUGUAUUUAGAUUCCUAGAAACCUUUUAUUUCCACCUUAAAUAUUAUGGUCUUUGCCUCUAAAAUCUUACUUGUUUAGUCCUUUUCUUACAUUGCAUUUCCGCUAUGACAUGCCUAGCAACAUCAUAGUGGACUUUCCACCACCCGUCACAAACUUUGUAUUGUUCUAGAAGAUAAGGUCGGUGCUUAGCGAACCCCUGAUUUCUAGGGUAUCGGUUGGUGAGUAGUUCCAUUGUGAACUAACUCCAUUCCUAAUAGGUACCGAAUUCCUAAUAUGUAACAUAGUGAAUCAUGCAGUCGAAAUUCUCUAGUUUUAACUUGCAACACGCAACAAUAUAUCGUGAUUGAAUUAGAUGGAAAUAAUGUUAUAUAUUUUUCAUUAAAAAUCGGUCUGUAGUUGUUUAUCUCUUUUUUUACCGGAGACGUAGAAAACCAAUGUCCAAAAUUGCAUCUUAAUUGCAUGGAACAGCUGGGGCUUGGGGAAUGACCCGGCAGUUCGAGGCCUUAUGAAAUUACAGAAGGAGGAGGACCCCGACAUCAUUUUUUUGUCAGAGACAAAGCCUGAUAGGGGGAGGAUGAGUAAGUUUAGGGAUAAAUUAGGUUUAUACCACAUGGAAGUGAAGAAUAAUGUCGGAAUGAGUAGUGGUUUGGCGCUCUUUACGAGGCGUGGAAUAAAUGUCACUGUUAGAUGGAUGGGAAGGAUGCAUAUUGAUGCGAUCGUUGAGGGGGAGGAUGGGUACAAAUGACGUCUGAAUGGCAUCUACGGGGAGUCACAGAUGGAGAAGAAGUGGAAACAUGGUGGUUGUUGCAUACUCUGCACCACCAAAUUCAACUCCCGCGGGUAUGCUUGGGUUAUUUCAACGAGAUCAUGUUCAACCAUGAGAAGCAAGGAGGUGUCCCUCGAGCCCAUGGAUAAAUGCAGAAUUUUUGUGUUACUCUUGAUUAUUGUAAUUUGCAUGACCUCGGUUUUGAGGGAGAUGUUUUUACAUGGAGGGAUAAAAACUAUCGUGUUCAGGGCUAUAUUCGUGAGUGUUUAGAUCGUGUUGUUGCAACUCUGGAGUGAUGUGCUCAUUUUCUAGCGUACAAAAUAAUGAAUGGGGACCCCCGCCACUCUGAUCACCGCCCUGUGAUGCUAUUGCGGGAUGAGAGCCCUCAUGUGCAGCACCCAGCUGGGGGUGAAUGCCUGCUAUGCUUUGACGCAAAUUGGAUGCUAGAGGAGGGUUGUGAUGGAAUAGUCUAGGAGGCCUGGGAUGGAGCAACCGGUCCUACUGUUUAGCGAAGGUUGGGUGAUGUUGUUAAGGCUCUGAAUACUUGGAGUAGAGAGGUGCUUGGAGAUCUGCGGAAGAGAAUAACAAAUUAAAGGCGGAGCUGGAGAAAGUCGGGAGGGAACCAAUCUCAGAUAGUCAAGUUCGAAAGGAACAAACAAUUAGUUUUAGGAUUGAGAGGCUAGAAGAACAUGAAGACCUUGUUUGGAGGCAGUGAGCUCAUGUUAAUUGGCUGACCAAGGGUGAUCGUACACGCUACUUCCAAGCUUAUGCCUCGUAGAGAAAGAAGUGAAAUACCAUUCAGAAACUAAAAAGGGAGGAUGGAGUGGUAGUGGAGGAUGAAGAGGGCAUACAAAAUCUUAUUACUAACUACUUUACCUCUCUCUUUACCCUCGUGGUAGGUGUUGAUGCAAGUAAUAUCCUAAAUCACAUUUCUCCCAAGGUCACACCGCAAAUGGAUGACUUCCUGGGUGCGGAGUUCACCCCUGAGGAUGUCAAAUCUGCUUUAGAUGACAUUGGUGAUCUUAAGGCGCCGGGGAUGGGCGGUCUGCCGGCCAUCUUCUAUAAGCACUACUGGCACUUGGUUGGCAAUGAUGUGGUACGGGAGGUGCUACAUGUGUUGCGUGGCGGCAAUAUACCGAAGGGAUGGAACAAUACUCUUGUAGUACUUGAAGGAAAUAUGCCCUAGAGGCAAUAAUAAAGUUAUUAUUUAUUUCCUUAUAUCAUGAUAAAUGUUUAUUAUUCAUGCUAGAAUUGUAUUAACCGGAAACAUAAUACAUGUGUGAAUACAUAGACAAACAGAAUGUCACUAGUAUGCCUCUACUUGACUAGCUCGUUGAUCAAAGAUGGUUAUGUUUCCUAACCAUAGACAUGAGUUGUCAUUUGAUUAACGUGAUCACAUCAUUAGGAGAAUGAUGUGAUUGACAUGGCCCAUUCCGUUAGCUUAGCACACGAUCGUUUAGUAUGUUGCUAUUGCUUUCUUCAUGACUUAUACAUGUUCCUAUGACUAUGAGAUUAUGCAACUCCCAUUUACCGGAGGAACACUUUGUGUGCUACCAAACGUCACAACAUAACUGGGUGAUUAUAAAGGUGCUCUACAGGUGUCUCUGAAGGUACAUGUUGGGUUGGCGUAUUUCGAGAUUAGGAUUUGUCACUUCGAUUGUCGAAGAGGUAUCUCUGGGCACUCUCGGUAAUACACAUCACUUAAGCCUUGCAACUAAUGAGUUAGUUGCGGGAUGAUGUAUUACGGAACGAGUAAAGAGACUUGCUCGUAAUGAGAUUGAACUAGGUAUUGAGAUACCGACGAUCGAAUCUCGGGCAAGUAACAUACCGAUGACAAAGGGAACAACGUAUGUUGUUAUGCGGUCUGACCGAUAAAGAUCUUCGUAGAAUAUGUAGGAGCCAAUAUGAGCAUCCAGGUUCCGCUAUUGGUUAUUGACCGGAGAUGUGUCUCGGUCAUGUCUACAUAGUUCUCAAACCCGUAGGGUCCGCACGCUUAAAGUUCAGUGACAAUCGUAAUUAGGGUUUUUGUGUUUUGAUGUACCGAAGGUUGUUCGGAGUCCCGGAUGUGAUCACGGACAUGACGAGGAGUCUCAAAAUGGUCGAGACAUAAAGAUUGAUAUGUUGGAAGCCUAUAUUUGGAUAUCGGAAUCGUUCCGGGUGAAAUCGGGAUUUUACCGAAGUAUCGGGGGGUUACCGGAACCCCCCCCCCCCGGGGGUUAAUGGGCCUACAUGGGCCCUAAGGGAGAAGAGGAGGGCCGGCCAGGGCAGGCCGCGCGCCCCCUCCCCCUAGUCCGAAUAGGACAAGGAAGGGGGGCGGCGCCCCCCUUUCCUCUUUCCCCCUUCCCCUUUCCUUCUCCAACAAGGCAAGAGGGGGGAGUCCUACUCCCGGUGGGAGUAGGACUCCUCCAGGCGCACCCCUAGGGGCCGACCGCAUCUCCCCCCUCCCUCCUUUAUAUACGGGGGCAAGGGGGCACCCCAUGACAUAGAAGUUGAUCUUCGUGAUCGUUCCUUAGCCGUGUGCGGUGCCCCCUUCCACCAUAUUCCACCUCGGUCAUAUCGUAGCGGUGCUUAGGCGAAGCCCUGCGUCGGUAGAACAUCAUCACCGUCAUCACGCCGUCGUGCUAACGAAACUCUCCCUCAACACUCGGCUGGAUCAGAGCUCGAGGGACGUCACCGAGUUGAACGUGUGCAGAACUCGGAGGUGCCGUACGUUCGGUACUUGGAUCGGUCGGAUCGGGAAGACGUACGACUACUUCCUCUAUGUUGUGUCAACGCUUCCGUUGCCGGUCUACGAGGGUACGUAGACAAUACUCUUCCCUCUCGUUGCUAUGCAUCACCAUGAUCUUGCGUGUGCGUAGGAAUUUUUUUGAAAUUACUACAUUCCCUACAGUACUAAUUCCAAAGGUUUAGAACCCCGAGACUCUAAAAUACUUACGCCCUAUUAGCCUAUGCAAAGUGGUGUACAAACUCAUGUUCAAGGUCCUCGCAAACAGACUCAAGUGCAUCUUAGGGGAGAUUAUAUCACCGAAUCAAAGUGCUUUUGUGCCGGGGAGGCUCAUUUCUGACAACACCAUCCUGGCUUAUGAGAUGACACAUUUCUUGAAGAGGAAUAGGUCCGGAAGUGCUAAUUAUGAUGCGUUAAAACUAGACAUGAGUAAGCCUACAAACAGGUGGAGUGGGGUUUUUUCGUAGAAAGUGAUGAGGCAACUUGGCUUUGCACCAAGGUUUGUGAGUCUAGUAAGCAAGUGCAUUAGGCCUGCGCGGACAAAUCGGGAUCGGGGGUGGGGUUUAGGGCGAGCAGGGUUGCUGCCGGGCGAACGGGCCAGCCCUUGCGCGUGGCGCGGGACCCGUGUUCGCGGGGCUGGCCGGCCGUUGAAGGGGCGACGACGUUCGAAGGUUUUAGGGUGAGGCCAAGGCAAUCGGUGAUGGGAUCGGAGUUAGGGUGGAUGGGCGGUGCGGAUAGCCAGAUACCACGUCUAUGGGUGUGCCUAAAUGGUGACCGGGUCUGGGGUGGAGUGGUAACGGAAGAGGAAACAACGGAGGGGAAUGGCUUUGCUUCUGGGCUUCGUGGGGCCCUGCCUUGGGUUGUCUAUGGGUUUUUAGGGCUUUUGCACAAUCCUAUUUGAGAGGCCUUGUACAAUGUUCACCGUUGUUGCCACUGACUUUAUUCCUUAUCAAUUUGUCUUACAAAGCCCUCAAAAUCAAUUUGUCUUAUCAAUCAUAUCUUUUUUUGCGGGGUGAAAGGGAUUUUUAUUCCAAAAUAAUAGAGUUACAGUGAAGAUGCGAGAAUUCCUAUGUACAUGGUUUUAUCAAUCAUCUCAUGUGUUAUAGUCUUCAUUUUCUUACUUUGACAUUAUUGUUGACGAUCUUAAGAUGUAAUCUGCAGUAUCAUUGACCUUAUGUGUUUCAGCCUUAUCUCACUCACAACCUAUUAAUUUCAAUUAGUCGGCGUCUUUGUGCCACCGCCUAUCACCGGUAUUAAAUGUCUUCGAUGUCAUUCAAGAAUAUAAGACGGAUGGUAAGUAAAUCGCUAAUGAAAGUAGCCACUAAUGUAUUCCUUCUUACCAUGUUUCAUCGCCUCAUCUCAAGGCUCUUAUUCCCUAUAUGAAAAUCAAUUCAUGCAAACAACUCCAUUAUACCAUGUCGUUACACAUCAUUGAUUUUUUUUGCCGCCCAAGAAUAUGAGGUAGGAGCAGUAAUGAACCCUGGAGGCGAAGCAUCGUUAUUGUCCUCGUUAUUCCCUGGAGGCGAAGCGUCGUUAUUGUCCUCGUUAUUCCCUGGAGGCGAAGCGUCGUUAUUGUCCUCGUUAUUCUUUUGGAGGUAUAUGUGUGCAGUUGCGUGGUUAAUUAAUACUAACCAAAAUACCUAAUUUUUCAGAAAUAAAAAAUAUUACUUGUCAUUGAUAUGUAAGUCUACGUUAAUUUUGGUUAUAGGGAUAAAAUGAAAGCACCUUUUCAAAACAUCUUGGUUGGGUAGGAAUGGAACAAAAUGCACAAUAGUGGAGGCGUAAGGCGAGGGAAAUCUACGUGAACAACUUUGUCUAUAGACUUGAAGAGGUGCUAGACUACUCAAUUUUGAAGCUUUUAGGAGGUUUCUAUCGCCAAUAUUGACUUUCAAUAUUUGCAAAUAGUGUCAAAAACCUACCGCCAUGCUUUUAGAUGCUUAGAAAACUUUUUUUGUUUCCUCCUUACAUGUUAUCGUCUGUGCCUCUAAAAUACUUGUUUAGUCCUUGACCUAUAACACAUCAUCAAAAGACAUGCCUACCAACAUUAUAGUGGACAUUCCAACACCCACCAUAAACUUUGUAUUGUUCCAGAAGAUAAGGUUGGUGCUUAGCGAACCCCUGAUUUAUAGGGUAUCGGUUGGUGAGAGUUAUAUUGUUAACUAACUCCAUUCCUAAUAGGCAACAUUAUGAACCAUGUAGUCGAAAUUCUCUAAUUUUAACUUGCAAUACGCAACAAUAUAUCAUGAUUGAAUUAGAUGAAACUAAUGUUAUAGAUUUGUCAUUAAAAAAUUGGUUGUGGUUUUUUUUUGUAACUGGAGACAUAUAGAAUCAAUCGUCAAAAUUGCAUCUUAGAAACUACACUCCUGGCAAAAGAGAUAUCUUUUAUAAAUUGAGAGAGUUCUUAAUAAUGUAUGCCAUGUGGUUCUAUCUGCCCUAAGACAGUGCAGUGUCAGUUUUUGUAAGAGGAAAGAUGAUUUACAAAUUGAACUGACUUACUAUUUCUAGGAUUCAAUGGUCGGGGAAAACCUAUGUGCAACUUUAGGUCGUGGUUGUCCAUUUUUAUCUCUCUCUCUCUCUCUCACACACACACACACACACACACAACUGCAGUUGCACGAUCCAAGACACUCUCAUACUCGUCGUCGUCUGCAUGCGCGCUAUAUUAGUGUUGUAGAUGGUCCCGAACCACUACCGAGUCCGGCAUAACCGUCGGUGUCACAAACUCCAUUAAUCAUCUGCAUGGAUGCUACGUCGAAUGGUCGCCAACCAUUGUCGGAUCUGUCAUGCACGGUGUCACAAAUUCCGUCAUAGUUGGCUCCUACCUUCCUCUUUCCACCGGGUCGGCACUACCAUGAAGACACAAUCCAAGCAACAUAAUGGUUGAGAGGGAAAGUGUGAGCUCCUAUAUUUGUAGAAUUUUCACUUACACCUUAUUUUCAAAAUAGUGGACUAAGACGGCUAGGCUAGCAUGUUAGAAUGUUUUUAUGUGACUUUUCAGGUUCAAAAGUCUAGGGCGGAAAGUUUAUGCAUGAAUUUGGAGGUUGAAACAUCUAAGACCAGACAACCGCAUGGAUGCAAAGAUUACGCAUAAACAGAUCAAAUUCAAGAAGAAAGUAGAAAAACAUGUGUCGGGUGGUAGGUGCGACAUAUGCCAACGGGUGACUUAUCAUUGUGGGAGCCAGUAAGACAUCGUCGGUGCCUGGAUACGGGAUAAGACGAAGACAUGCACACCGGCGGAUCUUACCCAGCUCCGGGGCUCUCCGUGGAGAUAACACCCCUACUGCUGCUCUGCGGGGUCUCCGCAUGUUCACUAGACGAAUCGAGUGGCUACACAAUGCUCCUUGAGCGGUUUUGGGGGGGAGGAGGAAGAAGGGCACGGCUAGCCUGCUUCUUCUCCUUGAUUUUUGUGUCUAGAAUUAGCUAAGGGUCCAACCCUUUGCAUGGGUGCUCCGGGGGGUUUAUAUAGGCCUACCCCCGGGGGUACAAUGGUAAUCCGGUUGGGCGCGGGGCCCAGCCGUCUGUGACUGCGCUCGCCGGCUUCUACGCCGGCUGCUGGGGCCCGCCGACUGGUGGGUCCCGCCGGCUGCCGGCCCCUUGGUCGACAGGCAGGCCCCACUAUCCAGGGCCUGGUCGGCGGCUAGUUACUGUGGCUUCAUCUUGUUGACGUGAGCUCCAUCGUGGCAAGCGCGGCCAUAGUACCGCCGCAUGUCAGGCGAUCGCUGUAGCCUUACCGCGUCUUGUCUCCUUAAUGGGGCGUCCUCUUCGAGGAAGGCGGCAAGCCGGCUGCGGGGAGCCGGCCCUGUCUUGGGCCGACUAGUCGGAGGCGUGGCCGCCUUCGGGCGUCUCUCUGCUCAAAGGGGCCCACCGUUUGUGGGCCACGCUGGCGGCCCGUCAUGGGUGAUGCCAGGGUGAACAUGGCAACAGUGGUGCGCUGGACGGGUCGCCUAGCCCAUACGGCGCACCAUGCCAGGCGUGCUCCGGGAUUCGGGGGUGGCAGGCUUUACUGUAGCCACGCCCCGUCGCACCGCCGUUAGGUGGGUGCAAACUUUGUGGGUACGGUCUUGACCGCUUUAUGGGGAGCCGGCUUCGUGGAGCCGGCCUUCUCAUGGCCGGCUUCUUGGAGUCGGCCUUCUCAUGAGGGCUAAAGUCGGACCGCCUUCCGAAAGCCGGCCUGGGUGGCAGCCAGCAAGGGGAAGGCGGCCCCUAUGUCUUGAAUUCUUGAGAGCCGGGCGGGCUCGUAAUUUCUUCAGGAGGGCCAGGGGAAGCCGGCUAGGCUACCCAUGGCUAUUUACUCCGACAGUAGUCCCCGAAGCUGAUCGAGCUCCGAGGUGAGUAGGGGGACGAGAAGCUUAGUCAGCUUCACAUCCUGGAGAGCCGGCUUAGCGGGCGUAGGCCGACUUCAGAAAGCCCCGCGUCUCGCAGGUGAGAGGAGGGGGGCAACCCGCGUGCCGACUACGGGGCCCCCUGCGGCCACGUGGCGGCGAGACCCUGCGAGCGCACGCGCGCGACGGGACGCCGCCGCAGGCCUGAGCCCGCCACUCGCGAGCCUUGGUCCGGGCGCGGAUCUUCCGUGGCCCACAGGGGCCGCUCGCCUUCUCGAGGCAGUUUCGUUUCGCCGUUAAGGCUCGACAAUCGCGGGACGUGGGGAGUGGGCACGAUCGAUCCCCACGCUUCCCCACGCCACGUGAGCCUAUAAGUAGGGGGAGGAGGGAGAGCGACAGAGGUUCGCACGCUCCCUCCCGCUCCGCCCCUCCUAACCCUCAUCUUCUUCCUCUCGCUGCCGUCGCAGCUUCCCGUCUCAGCGCCGUCGUGUCUCCACACCGCCUCGUUCCCAUGGCGCUGUCAAGCUCGUGGGACGGCUCCAACGUCCAUGAAGACCACGUGGAGUUCCUUCGCCAGACCCGGCGCCUGCCCGGUGCCGACCGCGUACAGGUCCGCCUGGCGCCCGCGAAGGAGAUCUCGCCGGCGCCGGAGGAGGGCGAGCGGGUCGUCUUCCGCUCGCACUGCCUGCGCGGCUUCGGCCUUCCGGCGAGCGGGUUUCUGCGCUCUUUCCUGGAGUUCUACAACCUCCAGUAGCAUCACCUCACGCCCAAUGCGGUGAUGCUGCUGUCGGCCUUCGUCUCCCUCUGCGAGGGCUUCUUGGGGCUGCUCCCCACGCUGGAGCUCUGGGGAGAGUUCUUCCAGAGCAAGCUCGGCACGGUCGUCGCCGGCGUGCCCGCCCCCUGUGGAGCCUUCAUCGCCAUAAGGAGGGCGAGCGAGAACAAUCUGUUACCGCCCAUCCCCCUGAUCCAGUCGGUGAAGGUCUGGCAGAGAUCUUAUUUCUAUGUGAAGAACGUCGCUGAGUAAGGAGACUACAUCAACCUGCCUGAUUACGUAGCCGGCCCGCCGACUGGGAGGCAGCCCUCGUGGAGCUUCCGGUCCCGGUCAUUGUCUCCGGCCGGGAACGCCGCCAUCUCCCGGCUUCGGGUAUUGGUUCAGUCGAAAGGCUUGCGCGGGGCCGACUUGGUGGCCGCCUUCGUUGGGCGCCGGAUCCUUCCUCUCCAAAGCCGGCCCCAUAUGAUGUGUCAGAUGAGCGGCCGCUUCGACCCAAGCCGUCUGAGCACAUGGGAAAUGCCCCACGCGGAGGUGGCGCUCAUGGUUAACUACAUCGCCAACUGUAAGCUCGUCGGGGACUGGCAAUACGGCAAGGUGCCGUAUUCCCGCGCCAAUCCUCCGCCCGUGGUAAGUCUCUCUCUCUAUCUUCUUAUUGUCGUCGGCCGGCUUCAUGACGGACGGCUUCUGACUAGCCGGCUCUUUUGAGCAGAACCCUCUUCUUGCGCCACCGGCUGGGGCGGCGGGAGUUGAACGCCAGUAUACCCCCGACCGCAUGGUGGAUGAUGUUGACGACCCGGAUUUGGGGGCGGCCGCCCUGGAGGACGACGUCGUGGGGGACAGUGCCGAGCCCGGAGGCUCAAGGUUCACCGCGAGCUUUGAGGACUGGCCGGACGAAUUCGAAGCCGAAGUUGCCCCGCGCCGCCAGCCGGCAGCCGAUCAACAGGGCGCGGGCUCGUCUGUCGCGCCGGCUGCCGGCGGCGCGCAGAAGCGCCGGGCCGCUCUAGGCCUCUUCGGCAGUCGGGCGAAGAAGUACAAGCCCUCCACCGCGGCGACAAAGCGAGACGAGGCGGCCGCGAAGGCGGCCCGCUUCUGCAAGGCGGUGAAGCAGCCCCAGGCGGUCUCGGCGUAAGUCUUCGACUGCCUUGCCGCAUGCUCGUCAUCAUUCUCUUUCUCUUCGAAUAUUCUUCUUAACUUUUCUUUGCUUGCCGGACAGCGCGCCGCUUUCCCUUGAGCGGGGCCCGGGCGGCUCCAUCGUGGGGCCGGCUGGAGGGUCUUCGAGCUCCCGCCGCGUGGACCCCCGCGCCGAUCUUAGGGAGGCCACAGAGCGGAACGCCCGCGAAGCGCGGGAGGAGCGCGAGGCGGCGGAGAAGGCGGCCGCCCAGGCGGCGAGGGAGCAAGCCGAGGCGGCAGCCAAGGCCCAGAUAGAGGCGGCUACCGCGGAGACGGAGGCGGAAAGCUCGCGCAGCCAGCCUCCACUGCUCGCCAUUCCUCUCCGAGUCGUAGCCCCCGACACCUCAUUGCCCUUGGCGGAGGAGAUCGUCCAAGACCCGCCGCUGAUGGAGAGGAGGGAGGACCCCGUGGCCUUGGCGGGGAGAAUGCCGCCAGCAGCGCCAACCGGAGCGGGCCAAGGCGGUCAAUCGUCAGCGGCGCCAGAGGGGCCGGCCGGGGGUGAGCCGGAGAACAGAGCCGGCCUCGAGGUGCAGCUGGCGACGGGCCGGCGUGCAGGGGAAAGCGCCGCUCCGCCGGAGUUGCGCCGAGCCGCGGGCGCAGGCCAGCCGGCGGAAGAUCUGGAGGCGGCCAGCACCGCCAUGUCUGAGUGGACUCCCAGCGGGAGGACUGGCGAGCUGGAUGCGGCGGCUCAAGGGGUCCGGAGCCGGCUGCAAGCUCAGGCCGCCCUGCUGCAACAGCUCAACCAAGAGUUCUUGUCAACGCGAGCCACUAUCCGGGUGAGCCCUUCGUUCUUGGCUGCUUUGCUUUCUUAAUUUCUUCCGUGGGGGCGCGUCAGCGCAUCCACUGGGUGUAGUCCCCGAGAUUCGGGCCGACUGUUGCGCAGUCAGAUCGGAUCUUUCUCGAUGGCCACCUUACUUUGCUUCUUUCUGAACUUUCAGGAAUACCACAACCUUCGUGCUGCCGCCUUGGACUCCCAGGCUCGGGAGUUGAGCCGGCGGACCGACGACCUGGCCAACAGCCGAAGUAAGUACUCGAUUUUGUCUGUCUCCUGUGGGGGCGCGUCAGCGCACCCACUGGGUGCAGUCCCCGAGAUUCGGGCCGACUGCUGCGCAGUCGGGUCGGAUCUUUCUUGACGACUCUUUUCUUAUUGGUUUUUCUUUGUCUUCAGGGGCCAACGCCGACUUGAGGAAGGAGCUCGGUGAGGCGAAGGCCGCCCUUCAUACCAAGGAGGCCGAGUGCGCCGCCUUGGUCUAGGAAAGGGAUCGCCUAGCCAAGAAGCUGGCCGACCAAGAGGAGAGCCACGAAGCGGCCCUGCAGGCGGCGCAGGAAAGCGAAGGCGCCUUGAUGGCGGAGUAUGAGAUGGCGGCGGCGACCUGGUCUGAGACCCGGCGAGGCCUGGACGAAGGCUUCGGCCGGAUCGAGGAUCUGAUCGACGGUAAGCUGCCUUCCUCGGCCCUCCCCUGCCCCUUGCCACUUGGGUUUUUUGACUUAUCUUGAGCUGUUGUAGAUUACUUCCCGGGCUACUCCGCCUUCGCCGCCCAAAGCAUUGAGGCCCAUCGCGAGGCGCGCCGUCAAGCGGGGGCCGACAUUGCGCCGGAUGCAAACCGGAUCCUUGAGGAGCAGCUCCUGGCUAUCCAGGCACGGUUGCAGCCGGCUCAUCGGAUGCUUCGCCGGCUCCAACGUGCCGGAGCACAAGUGUUGGCCGCCCUCUGGCCCGGCGAGACGAUCCCCCGCACCCCAAGCCGAACUGCCGACUGGCUGGAAGUCGCAGUUGGUCGCUUCAAGGCUUGGAAAGCGUCAGCGGCCCGCCUCGGAGCAGGGCGGGUGUUGGAAUUCGUUCGGGCUUGGUACCCAGGGCUGAGCCUGGACUAGCUGCGCACUUGGCGGAUGGAGGCCGACGCAGAGCUGGAGGAGGUGAGGCCGGCUAUCGCCCAGCGAGCUUCGACGAUCGUCGAGUGCACCGACAUCAGCGUUUUCGCACCCGAAAUCGAUGAUGACGGUGUUGUUCAGCCGGAGGAGUGGUUCGGGCUGGACCCGGCGGUGGGCGAGGACUCGACGGAGGAGAUUGCCUCCAGCGACGAGGGCGAAGAAGAUGAAGACGAGGGCGGCGAAUAUGUCGAGCCGGCUGGUGGAACAACCAGCCGACCUCAGGCCGACCGUGCCUCCAGCAACGAGGCGCGUGGAAGCGCACCCUCUGCGGGAGGCGGUGACCAAGCCGAAGUUCAUCAGCCGGCCGCUCCUUCAGCCGAUACGACCGUCUCCGCCAACCAGUCUGGCUCGUCGGCCACUCCGCCAGCUUGACCUGCCGUCUUUAUCUUUCCUGCUUUGUUGUCUUUGAACAAUCUUUGUUAAGUUUUCGCAGUUCCACCCACUGGGGGUGUAUCCAAACUAUGUUGAAUGCUGGCCUCUUGGAGGUCUUUUCAUGUAAAUAUUAUCAUGUGCAUGUUUGGUUUCCAUUCACGUAUGCUUUUUUAUCCUUAGGCUUUUUCCUUUGCUGCCUUCCCUCUUUGGGGAGGUAAGUACUUGAGCUUUCUUGGAUUAAAGUGAAGUGAACGGAAACCGGCCGGCCGGCUACUCUGGUAGCCAGUCGGCGGUGUGAGAAAAACCGGCUUUUGUUAUAUUAGUCCGUUAGUUCCUAGCCGUUUUUCGUGUGGGCGCCCGUUCCUACCUUUAACUCUUGCCAGCCGGACAGCCGGUUCUUCGGACUACGACUUUUGGCAAGAGAAGGCUUGAGAGCCGGCACACUACUUAUCUGACUGUGGGUAGGACUUCUAACAUAACUCCAGUCGGCCAGUCCCCGAGCCGACUAGUCGAACUCGGUGCCGGACGGAAUAAGUAAAUGAUACGACAAGGUUAUGAGCAUGAUACUUUUCAUUCAUAAAUAAGAGAUGGCAGUCCCCGAGCCCUCCUCGGGGAGCCUAUUGUCUUGUACUUAAUACAAAAGUUAGCGCGAUACAUACUGCAUUUCAACUGUAAAAUCGUCGGAGGAGGUUGGCGUUCCAUGGUCGUUCCGACUCCUUGCCGGAGUCGUCUCUCUUGCGUGCCUUCGGCUUCUGUGCGUCGAUUAGGUAGUAGGAGUCGUUACCUAGAGCCCUGCUGAUGACGAAGGGGCCUUCCCAAGGGGCUGAGAGCUUGUGUUGGCCGGCUGUUCGCUGGAUCAGCCGGAGCACAAGAUCGCCCUCUUGGAAAGAUCUUGGCCUGACUUUCCGGCUGUGGUAGCGGCGCAAACCCUGCUGGUAGAUGGCAGACCGGCUGAGGGCUAACAGCCGGCUUUCUUCCAGCAGGUCGACGCCGUCUUCUCGUGCUUCCUUGGCCUCCGCUUCCGUGUACAUGGUUACUCGAGGCGAGUCGAACUCGAUGUCAGUUGGGAUGACCGCCUUGGCACCAUACACAAGGAAGAAAGGGGUGAAGCCGGUUGACUUGUUUGGUGUAGUGCGCAGGCUCCAGAGGACAACCGGCAGCUCAUCGAGCCAACAGCCGGCCGAGCACUCCAGAGGUACGACCAGUCGAGGCUUGAUACCGGAGAGGAUGAGGCCGUUGGCUCGCUCGACCUGGCCGUUGGACUACGGGUGGGCGACGGAUGCUAAGUCCAGCCGGAUACCUUGGGCUGCGCAGAAACGUGCCAAGGCUCCUUUGGCAGAAUUCGUGCCAUUGUCGGUGAUGAUGCUGUGCAGCACGCCGUACCGAGUUGUUAUGUCUGUGAUGAACGUCACGGCAGUCGGCCCAUUCAGCUUCUUGAUCGGCUUUGCCUCAACCCACUUGGUGAAUUUGUCCACGGCGACGAGCAGAUGCGUCAUGCCGCCGUGCGCCGUCUUGAAUGGGCCCACCAUGUCCAGUCCCCAAACGGCAAAGGGCCAAGUGAGGCGAAUGGUCUUGAGUGCCGAAGCCGGCACGUGUUGCUUGGAGCUGAAGAGUUGGCAUCCCUUGCAAUGUUUGACUAAUUCUUUGGCGUCAUCCAAAGCAGUCGGCCAGAAGAAACCAUGGCGGAAGGCUUUGGCGACAAGUGAUCUUGAGGCCGCAUGGUGGCCGCAUUCACCUUGGUGAAUAUCUGUGAGGAUUGCAAUGCCCUUCUCUUGCUCGACGCACCGUUGGAGGAUUCUAGUGACACUGCGCUUGAGUAGUUCUCUGUUGACGAUUGUGUAUGCUCCGGCUCGACGUUGGACUUGUCUUGCUUCUGUUUCUUCAGCCGGCAGGUCUUGGUUUACUAGGAAGUUGAGGAUGGACUAAGCCCAUGAUGGAGCCGCGACUUCUCCUGCCGCCAAUGUGGCUACUGCUACCCGGGUGGGCGGGCUGGGCGGUGAGGUGCUGGAGUCGGCCGCCGACUGUAGCGCUGGUGCAGUCCCUGGGCCGGCUGCCGCAGUCUCCGAGCCGGCCGCCGAAGUCCCCGAGCCGGCUGCCGAAGUCCCCGAGCUGGCUGCCGAAGUCGCCGAGCCGGCUACGGGGGUCUUGGGGUCGCCUACUUGGUUCUUCGAGCCGGACCCGACCGCGUCGGGGUCAGGCGGCACGAAGAUGGAAUCGGAUUCCGGAGACGGCUUGAUAGACGGCUUGAGGAGGCAUUGUAGAGCGACGCCGGUUGGAAUUGCUUGGCGAGUGGAGCCUAUUCGAGCCAGGGCAUCGGCUGGCUCGUUGUCGGCUCGUGGUACGUGGAGGAACUCGCAUCCUUCAAAGUAUCCACUGAUUUGUUGGACCAGGAAUCGGUAGCUCACCAUAUUCGCGUCCUUGGCGUCCCAGUCACCGGAUGAUUGUUGGACUACCAGGUCCGAGUCGCCAUAACAUAGGAUCCGGCGAAUGCCAAGUUCUUUGGCAAGCCGGAGCCCGUGUAUGAGCGCCUCGUACUCGGCCACAUUGUUGGAGGCGGCAAAGUGGAUCUGUAGCGUGUAUCUGAGCUUGUCGCCUUUCGGAGAGUUAAGGACGACGCCGGCUCCCAAGUCGGUGCGCAUCUUGGACCCCUCGAAGUGCAUGCGCCAAUGGGUGGAGUCGGGAGCCGGUGGCAGGUACUGGGUCUCGGCCCAGUCGACGAGGAAGUCGGCCAGUGCUUGGGACUUGAUGGCAGUGCGGGGCUGGUAGAAGAUCGUGUACGGGGCCAGCUCGAUGGCCCAUUUCGCCACCCGGCCGGAUGCAUCCCGGCUGCCUAUGAUCUCGGCUAGCGGGGCAGUGCAUACGACCGUGACGGGAUGCUCUUGAAAGUAGGGCUUCAGCUUCUUGGCAGUGAAGUACACGCCAUAACACAUCUUUUGGUAGUGCGGGUAGUUCUGCUUCGAGGCGGACAGCACCUCGCUCAAAUAGUACACCGGCCUCUGGACCGGCUGGGCUCGGCCUUCUUCUGGGCGCUGGACUACGAUGACGGUGCUGACCACCCGGCUGGUUGCAGCGAUGUAGAGGAGCAUGGGCUCUUUCUCAGUCGGCGCCGCAAGGACAGGCGGCGUGGCCAGCAUCUUCUUCAGCUCGUGAAAAGCUUGGUCGGCCUGGUCGUUCCACUCGAAGUGAGUGCUCUUCUUCAUGAGGCGGUAGAGAGGGAGAGCCUUCUCUCCGAGUCGGCUGAUGAAGCGGUUCAAGGAGGCUAAGCACCCGGUGAACUUCUGAAUGUCUCGAAGCUUGGUGGGGAUCGCCAUUCUUUCGAUGGCCUUGAUCUUCACCAGGUUGCAUUCGAUGCCGCGUUCGGAGACCAGGAAGCCUAGGAGCUGGCCGGCUGGCACUCCGAACACGCAUUUCUCGGGGUUGAGCUUGAUUUGGAACCGGCGUAGGUUCUCAAACGUUUCCUUGAGGUCUCCCAGCAAGGUGCCGUGCUUCUCCGUCUUCACCACGAUGUCGUCCACGUAUACGUGAGCGUUUCUGCCGAGUUGCUUGAGGAGGCACUUCUGCAUGCAACGCUGAAAAGUGGCACCGGCGUUUCUCAAGCCGAAUGUCAUAGUCAGGUAGCAGAAGACUCCAAAUGGCGUGACGAAGGUGGUCUUCAGGCGGUCGUCCGGGUCUAGCUUUAUCUGAUGGUAUCCGGAGUAAGCAUCCAAAAAACUCAACAGCUCGCAUCCGGCUGUGGAGUCUAUCACUUGGUCAAUCCUUGGCAGGGCAAAAGGAUCUUUGGGACAGGCCUUGUUGAGGCUCGUGUAGUCUAUACACAUGCGCCACUUGUUGUUCUUCUUUAGCACAAGGACCGGGUUGGCGAGCCACUCUGGAAAGAAAACUUCCAUGAUGAAGCCGGCCGCCAAGAGUCGGGCUAUCUCCUCCCCUACAAUCCUGCGCUUCUCCUCCGACAAUCGGCGAAGGGGUUGCCUGACUGGCUUUGCGUCUUCUCGAACGUGCAGUUUGUGCUCGGCGAAUUUCCUCGGAACACCCGGCAUGUCCUUGGGGGACCAUGCAAAGAUGUCCCGAUUCUCACGGAGGAAAUCGGCGAGCUCGCCUUCCUAUUUGCUGUUCAGGUUCGCCCCGAUGACGGCAAACCUCUCUGGAUGCUCGGGGUCAAGAGGUAUCUUCUUCGUCUCCUUGGCCGGCUGGAAAGAUCCCUGAGCAUCAUGCUCCUUGGGGUCGGGGGACACGGCCGACUGCUUGCCGGCUAUGGCCACGGCUCGGUCCAGCAUCUUCUUCUCCUCGGCAAUCACAAGGGACUCGGCCAGCCGGCUGCUGGCCGCCGCACACUCGGAGGACUUCUUAUAAUCACCGGCUACGGUGAUGACGCCUUUGGUGCUUGGUAUCUUCAUCUUGAGGUAUGCAUAAUGGGGAACUGCCAUGAAUUUGGCCAAAGCAGGCCGGCCAAGCAAUGCAUGGUAAGGGCUCUCCAGGUCCACCACUUCAAACCAGAUCGCUUCCCGGCGGAAAUGCUCCUUGUCCCCAAAAAGUACAUCAAUCUUGAUUUUGACAAUGGGGGCGCAGGACAGGCCGGGUACGAUGCCAUGGAACACUGUCCGCGUAGGCAUCAGCUGCUUCGUCUUGACAUUUAGCUUUUUCAGGGUGUCACGGUACAGGAUGUUGAUGCUGCUCCCGCCUCUAUCAACAUACGGGAGAAGCGGGCGGCGCGUCUGUCCGUUGCAAGGGUGGCUUCCAGGACCAAAGCAUAAGAGCCGGGACACGGCAUCACCUCCGGAUGGUCGGGCCGGCUCUAGCUGAUGGGCUUUUCUGACCAAUGCAUGUGUCCGGCGGGGUUGGCAGCGACCACGCUGACUUCCUGGUGCUCUCGGCGUUUGCUGCGCCGGUCUUCGGGCUGGCUGGUAAAGACGAUGUAGGUGGCUUGCUCGUCAGGGAACUUGUCAUGCACGGCUCCGACUGCGGGCCGAGCGGCCGGAGGCGGCGGGCCAGCGGGCGGAGGCGGCAAGAGACCCUCGCCCUUGGAGAUUCGGGUGAGCCAAUUGCACUUCCGGGUCGUGUGGUUGGACGACUUCGCGCCGCUGUGGAACUUGCAAGGGGCGUCGAGAGUUUGCUCGUAGGAGAAAGCGGGCUGCCAAGCCGGCCUGCCGCCCUUGGGUUUCUUGGGCGCCGGUCGUUCUUCAGGCGGCGCGUCUUCGACUGUGGCCACCUGUCGACUGGCGGGAGGGGGCGCGGGGCCCUUGCGCUUGUGGUCGUUCGAGUUGGGGUGCCGGCCGGAAUCCCCAGCCGGCGUCUUGGGCGCCGGGUUGAGUACCUUUCCGGACGCGUCUACCCGAAGCUCGGUCUUCAUUGAGGAGUCGGCGGUGGCGUACUUAUCCGCUACGUCCAGAAGUUCGUCGAGGGUAGCCGGCUCGUCGCAGAGGAGCUUGUGCUUGAGGAGGUGCCUUCUCGGCAUCCGGCUGUGAAGUAUUCUAUGGCUUGCACCUCGUGCACCCCUUCGCAGGAGUUGCGGAGCUCGGCCCAACGCGUGAGGUAAUCGCGAGUGGACUCGGCGGGGCCUUGUACGCACAAGGAGAGCUGUCUGGGCUUGGGAGCCCGCUUGUAGGUGCUGGUGAAGUUGCGGAUGAAGGCUUCUGUGAAAUCCAGCCAGCUGUUGAUGCUACGCGGCUUGAGGCUGUUGAGCCAGGUCCACGCCGUGCCUUGCAGCAUGAGGGGCACGUACUUCACGGCAACGCGCCGGUUGCCGUUGGCUAUGCUAACCGUCGUGGAGUAGUCGAUCAACCAAUCUUCCGGCUUUACGGAGCCGUUGUACUUGGGCGUGUCUCUUGGGAGCGAGAACCCUUUAGGAAAGGGCUCGUCGCGGAUGCGGGGGCCGAAACAAGGCGGGCCGACAUCGUCUUCUUCUUCCAACGCCAGGGAUCGCGCCAGGCGGUCGAUCCGAUGGCGGGCGUCGCUCUCGCCGAUUCCUUCACGGCGGCCUAGCCGGCCGCUGAGAGUCGGGUGCGCCACUGGCGACGAGGCGGGAUAUCUCUCUCCACGGGGCGGAGGCUGAGGCGGGUCACCUCGCCAUUCCAUGGCUCGGGGAUGACCAUCCGCGUCUCGCUCGAUGGAGAUCCGGGUCCGGCUGCGGCUGGUAGCUGGCUCCUUCUCGCGUCGCGCGCGGGUAUUGCUCGUAGUCGGCGUCCGGGACGUCGCGCCGUGAUCUCGGCGCGGGGGAGGGCUUCCCGCGCGGGCCUCUGCUUCGUGCCGCUGCGCGGCUGCGUCGAUCAGUUGCUGGAUGCGCCGGGUCAUGUGGGGGAGGUAUUCGGCCUCCAAGCCGUCCAACUCGUCUACGGCCGCCUGGGCGGCACGCAAGUUCUCGAGCGGCGUGGCAUAGACCGGGCGGUCGACUCCCAGCGUGUCGGCGAUGACGGCGCCGCGUUGCUUGACAAGGCCGGCCCGGCUUGGCCCGCCCCGGGCCGGCAUGCCGAAGGCGGCGCGGUCAGCUUCGCGCUGGUAGGCCCCAGUGAGGCGUCUUACGGAGGGCAGCCUCCGGCCCUCUGUGAGGAGGGCGAGGCGGCGUGCUUCCAGUGCUUCGUCGUCGGCAUCAGCCGGGAGGGGAGCGGACAAGUCGUGGGCCGCCGCGCGCGAGGCGUCGUGGGCGCUCUCGUCGGUCAGGCAGCCGUGGCCGACAACCAUCACUUUGGCGGUGACAGCAUCGCAGCCAUCGGUUCGAGGAAGCGGGUCGUUGUAGAUCGCGACGUUGGCGGGGAAGGUGUCGUAGGAGGCCGUGUCGGAGUCGCCAGGCAUCGGGUCGGUGGAGCCAACCGACUCCGGAUCCGCAGCGGGCUCGCUGGAGACAUGGAGCUGGCCGAGAAGGUUGGCGAGGUGGUCGGUGCCCGCAUCGGAGGCGAGCUCGUCGGAGAUGAGAGUUUUGUCGAGGAGAUCGGCGAGGCCGCCUGCAGCGCAGAUGCUGGUGACGUCUUGCAGCGCGUCGUGGCAAGCGCCAUCGAGCGUGCCGGGCCGGCUACGCUCGCGGGAGGGGGGGGGAUAAGGUUCCCGUCCAGAACAGGUCUCCGGACGACGGUGCACCUGGCCCCACGGUGGGCGCCAAAUGUCGAGUGGUAGGUGCGACAUAUGCCAACGGGUGGCUUAUCAUUGUGGGAGCCAUAAGACAUCGCCGGUGCCUGGAUACGGGAUAAGGCGAAGACAUGCACGCCGGAUCUUACCCAGCUCCGGGGCUCUCCGUGGAGAUAACACCCCUACUGCUGCUCUGCGGGGUCUCCGCAUGUUCACUAGACGAAUUGAGUGGCUACACAAUGCUCCUUGAGCGGUUUUGGGGGGAAGGAGGAAGAAGGGCACGGCUAGCCUGCUUCUUCUCCUUGAUUUUUGUGUCUAGAAUUAGCUAAGGGUCCAACCCUUUGCAUGGGUGCUCCGGGGGGUUUAUAUAGGCCUACCCCCCGGGGGUACAAUGGUAAUCCGGUUGGGCGCGGGGCCCAGCCGUCUGUGACUGCGCUCGCCGGCUUCUACGCCGGCUGCUGGGGCCCGCCGACUGGUGGGUCCCGCCGGCUGCCGGCCCCUUGGUCGACAGGCAGGCCCCACUAUCCAGGGCCUGGUCGGCGGCUAGUUACUGUGGCUUCAUCUUGUUGACGUGAGCUCCAUCGUGGCAAGCGCGGCCAUAGUACCGCCGCAUGUCAGGCGAUCGCUGUAGCCUUACCACGUCUUGUCUCCUUAAUGGGGCGUCCUCUUCGAGGAAGGCGGCAAGCCGGCUGCGGGGAGCCGGCCCUGUCUUGGGCCGACUAGUCGGAGGCGUGGCCGCCUUCGGGCGUCUCUCUGCUCAAAGGGGCCCACCGUCUGUGGGCCACGCUGGCGGCCCGUCGUGGGUGAUGCCAGGGUGAACAUGGCAACAAUGGUGCGCUGGACGGGUCGCCUAGCCCGUACGGCGCACCAUGCCAGGCGUUCUCCGGGAUUCGGGGGUGGCAGGCUUUACUGUAGCCACGCCCCGUCGCACCGCCGUUAGGUGGGUGCAAACUUUGUGGGUACAGUCUUGACCGCUUUAUGGGGAGCCGGCUUCUUGGAGUCGGCCUUCUCAUAAGGGCUAAAGUCGGACCGCCUUCCGAAAGCCGGCCUGGGUGGCAGCCAGCAAGGGGAAGGCGGCCCCUAUGUCUUGAAUUCUUGAGAGCCGAGCGGGCUCGUAAUUUCUUCAGGAGGGCCAGGGAAAGCCGGCUAGGCUACCCAUGGCUAUUUACUCCGACAACAUGUCUUUCGACAGUCACCAAAACAUUGGUGCAGUGAGAUCUUCAACAGUGCACUAGGUGGCCAGCAACAUCACAGUUUGAACAGGCUGAUUUUUUCUGUUCUUUAUCAUGGUUUUUACCCUAUAUCAUCAGUUCGUGCCCAUUCAUAAAAUUAUUCCACUGCACUGCAAAUAGAGCAAAGAUAUCUCAAAGAGUAAACUGGAAAAAGGUUUCCUGUUGUGAUCGAGCACUCGAUCAUCUGUGCCACACGAAUGGAAAUUUCAAGACGCACAGAAGUAUAUCACUUGCAUUGUGUCUUCAAGGUGAAGCUCAUUCACAAAUUGAUGAUGUUUAAGAUAGAACUAAGGUACUGUUCUGUUCAAUUUACAACACCAAUCAAGAGCAGGACAACAUUCUCAAUAGUCUGUCACAGCAACUCACACAGAUCAAAGAACAUGGCGAGGGCAACGGCUAAAUUUUGGCCUUGCCCUCCAUGCGGACAAUACGGUGACACCAAACAUACUUUUGAAAGCUGCAUUUUUAUGAGCUUUCAGUAGCAGACUCACAUAGUUUCCACAACUUAAUUUAGCUUUGGUAGGGCAGCAGGCAAGCGGCUGCUUCUGUUGUUGUUGCUGCUUCCGACGACAAGCACAAUGGGAGCAAGCUUACCAAAUAACAAUCAAUAGCACCAAAACC